UUCUUCCAAUGCUUCUUCAACACCUGAGAGUUCAGCUGUUAAUUGUUGUUGCUUUAAUUGUAACGUUUUUAAAUACUCGUUUAAAUCAAUAUAAGCCAACUUUAACAUGGCGUGGUCAUCGUAUAACUUUUGCAUUUCUUCAAAGUAUGGUAACUCACGGAAUUUGAAACCAUGCUUUUCCUCAGCCAUAUGGAAUAAGUCGAAAAAAGUUUGCGUUUCAUCAAUCGUUAACGUUUUAGUUUUGACACCAAUAUCAUAUGUUUUUUUAAUAUUACGUCUCGUUUGAUAAUCCAUUUCUUUUAAAAGUUGGUCUUCAGUCUUAUCUUUUAAAUCUAACACUG
rnacentral:sRNA from 1 species